rnacentral:rRNA from 1 species
AUUGAACGCUGGCGGCAUGCCUUACACAUGCAAGUCGAACGGCAGCACGGGAGCAAUCCUGGUGGCGAGUGGCGAACGGGUGAGUAAUACAUCGGAACGUGCCCAAUCGUGGGGGAUAACGCAGCGAAAGCUGUGCUAAUACCGCAUACGAUCUACGGAUGAAAGCAGGGGAUCGCAAGACCUUGCGCGAAUGGAGCGGCCGAUGGCAGAUUAGGUAGUUGGUGAGGUAAAGGCUCACCAAGCCGUCGAUCUGUAGCUGGUCUGAGAGGACGACCAGCCACACUGGGACUGAGACACGGCCCAGACUCCUACGGGAGGCAGCAGUGGGGAAUUUUGGACAAUGGGCGAAAGCCUGAUCCAGCCAUGCCGCGUGCAGGAUGAAGGCCUUCGGGUUGUAAACUGCUUUUGUACGGAACGAAACGGCCUUUUCUAAUAAAGAGGGCUAAUGACGGUACCGUAAGAAUAAGCACCGGCUAACUACGUGCCAGCAGCCGCGGUAAUACGUAGGGUGCAAGCGUUAAUCGGAAUUACUGGGCGUAAAGCGUGCGCAGGCGGUUAUGUAAGACAGUGUGAAAUCCCCGGGGCUCAACCUGGGCACUGCCUCUGUGA